GAUGAAGAACGCAGCGAAAUGCGAUAAGUAAUGUGAAUUGCAGAAUUCAGUGAAUCAUCGAAUCUUUGAACGCACAUUGCGCCCCCUGGUAUUCCGGGGGGCAUGCCUGUCCGAGCGUCAUUACAACCCUCAAGCUCAGCUUGGUGUUGGGCCCCGCCGCCCCGGCGGGCCCUAAAGUCAGUGGCGGUGCCGUCCGGCUCCGAGCGUAGUAAUUCUUCUCGCUCUGGAGGUCCGGUCGUGUGCUCGCCAGCAACCCCAAUUUUUUUCAGGUUGACCUCGGAUCAGGUAGGGAUACCCGCUGAACUUAAGCAUAUCAAUAAGCGGAGGA
rnacentral:misc_RNA from 1 species